AAAUUGAAGAGUUUGAUCAUGGCUCAGAUUGAACGCUGGCGGCAGGCCUAACACAUGCAAGUCGAACGGUAACAGGAAGCAGCUUGCUGCUUCGCUGACGAGUGGCGGACGGGUGAGUAAUGUCUGGGAAACUGCCUGAUGGAGGGGGAUAACUACUGGAAACGGUGGCUAAUACCGCAUAAUGUCGCAGGACCAAAGAGGGGGACCUUCGGGCCUCUUGCCAUCAGAUGUGCCCAGAUGGGAUUAGCUUGUUGGUGAGGUAACGGCUCACCAAGGCGACGAUCCCUAGCUGGUCUGAGAGGAUGACCAGCCACACUGGAACUGAGACACGGUCCAGACUCCUACGGGAGGCAGCAGUGGGGAAUAUUGCACAAUGGGCGCAAGCCUGAUGCAGCCAUGCCGCGUGUAUGAAGAAGGCCUUCGGGUUGUAAAGUACUUUCAGCGGGGAGGAAGGUGUUGUGGUUAAUAACC
rnacentral:rRNA from 1 species